rnacentral:rRNA from 1 species
UACGUAGGGGGCGAGCGUUGUCCGGAUUUAUUGGGCGUAAAGAGCUCGUAGGCGGUUUGGCAAGUCGGGUGUGAAACCUCCAGGCUCAACCUGGAGUCGCCACCCGAUACUGCUAUGACUUGAGUCUGGUAGGGGAUCACGGAAUUCCUGGUGUAGCGGUGAAAUGCUCAGAUAUCAGGAGGAACACCGGUGGCGAAGGCGGUGAUCUGGGCCAGUACUGACGCUCAAGAGCGAAAGCGUGGGUAGCGAACAGG